CCAUGAAAUGGGUGUGGGUGAGGGGACGUGGGUGGGUAUAAGGGGCAACGCAGUUGUCCCAUGGUCCUCUCCCUGCAGCAGAAGAAGAGGGUAAAGGAAGGGGGAGGAAGAAAAGCCAGAAUGACUCAUUCCCGAAAGGAAGUGCUCAAGCCAUAGGCAAGCAUGCCACAGGGAGAUUCGGGCGAGGAUUGUGAGAGCUAGGUGCACAGAGUGAUGGGGGCAAAAAUCAACGUCCGGCAGCUCGUCUCUAAGAUGGGGAGUGUGGGGGGUUCGCGGCAGCCGAGUGCCAAGGCCUGGGAAGCGGCGCGGCGCGUGCGCACUGGCGCUCGGCGGGACCCGCUGAGGCAAAGCCGAGCCGCAGUGACAGAAGCGAGCGGAGCGGCCGCCAAGAGGGACUCACCGAGGCACAGGGGCUGGAGGUGGUGCUGGGGUUUCUUCAUCUCUACAAUGGAGCCCUAACUAAGGAUUCUUGCAAUCAAAUGAGAUAAUGCAUGAUACAGUGCAGGAUAAACUGUAAAGCCUUGUAUAUUCAAUCAACAUAAUGCCAUCAAUGUACCAGACCAACUCAAUGUUGAGUGGAAGAUCAAGAUGCUCAGUAUCUCUGGACCAUGACGAAGAGCAAGAGAAUUGAUGGAACCCUGGGACAAGACUGUGAAGUUAUGUUGUUGGCCCUGCUGAGUAAAAGCAACUUGCUUCUGGUGUUUCUUGACAAUUUGUAUGGAGAAAUAAACAUUCGUUAGGUCAAUAAUUGCAUACUUGGUUGCAAGGGCUAUGUUGUUUUGCUCUAGUAAAGAUACUACAUAUGGAAGAACAGCUGUAAUUGGAGGUAUCACCUGAUUAAAUUUGUAAUAAUCA